UGGGGAAUAUUGCACAAUGGGCGCAAGCCUGAUGCAGCAAUGCCGCGUGAGUGAAGACGGCCUUAGGGUUGUAAAACUCUUUCGCUAGGGAAGAUAAUGACGGUACCUAGUAAAGAAGUCCCGGCUAACUCCGUGCCAGCAGCCGCGGUAAUACGGAGGGGACUAGCGUUGUUCGGAAUUACUGGGCGUAAAGAGUUCGUAGGCGGACUAGCAAGUUAGAGGUGAAAUCCCAGGGCUCAACCUUGGAACUGCCUUUAAAACUGCUAGUCUAGAGACCGGAAGAGGUUAGGGGAAUACCUAGUGUAGAGGUGAAAUUCGUAGAUAUUAGGUGGAACACCAGUGGCGAAGGCGCCUAACUGGUCCGGUACUGACGCUGAGGAACGAAAGCGUGGGGAGCAAACAGGAUUAGAUACCCUGGUAGUCCACGCCGUAAACGAUGAGUGCUAGAUGUUGGGAUUUUUCGGAUUUCAGUGUCGCAGCUAACGCAUUAAGCACUCCGCCUGGGGAGUACGGCCGC
rnacentral:rRNA from 1 species